GAAAAGAACCAACAGGGAUUGCCCCAGUAACGGCGAGUGAAGCGGCAACAGCUCAAAUUUGAAAUCUGGCCCCCAGGGUCCGAGUUGUAAUUUGCAGAGGAUGAUUUUGGCGAGGUGCCUUCCGAGUUCCCUGGAACGGGACGCCACAGAGGGUGAGAGCCCCGUCUGGUUGGACGCCGAGCCUAUGUAAAUCUCCUUCGACGAGUCGAGUAGUUUGGGAAUGCUGCUCUAAAUGGGAGGUAUAUGUCUUCUAAAGCUAAAUAUUGGCCAGAGACCGAUAGCGCACAAGUAGAGUGAUCGAAAGAUGAAAAGCACUUUGAAAAGAGGGUUAAAUAGUACGUGAAAUUGUUGAAAGGGAAGCGCUCAUGACCAGACUUGGGCCCGGUGAAUCAUCCAGCGUUCUCGCUGGUGCACUUUGCCGGGCUCAGGCCAGCAUCAGUUUGCCCCGGGGGAUAAAGGCUUUGGGAAUGUGGCUCCUCCGGGAGUGUUAUAGCCCACUGCACAAUACCCUGGGGUGGACUGAGGUUCGCGCAUCUGCAAGGAUGCUGGCGUAAUGGUCAUCAGCGACCCGUCUUGAAACACGGACCAAGGAGUCGUCUUCGUAUGCGAGUGUUCGGGUGUAAAACCCCUACGCGUAAUGAAAGUGAACGCAGGUGAGAGCUUCGGCGCAUCAUCGACCGAUCCUGAUGUUCUCGGAUGGAUUUGAGUAAGAGCAUACGGGGCCGGACCCGAAAGAAGGUGAACUAUGCCUGUAUAGGGUGAAGCCAGAGGAAACUCUGGUGGAGGCUCGCAGCGGUUCUGACGUGCAAAUCGAUCGUCAAAUAUGG
rnacentral:rRNA from 2 species